rnacentral:rRNA from 1 species
UGGGGAAUAUUGGACAAUGGGCGCAAGCCUGAUCCAGCCAUGCCGCGUGAGUGAUGAAGGCCCUAGGGUUGUAAAGCUCUUUCACCGGUGAAGAUAAUGACGGUAACCGGAGAAGAAGCCCCGGCUAACUUCGUGCCAGCAGCCGCGGUAAUACGAAGGGGGCUAGCGUUGUUCGGAUUUACUGGGCGUAAAGCGCACGUAGGCGGACUAUUAAGUCAGGGGUGAAAUCCCGGGGCUCAACCCCGGAACUGCCUUUGAUACUGGUAGUCUUGAGUUCGGGAGGGGUGGGUGGAAUUCCGAGUGUAGAGGUGAAAUUAGUAGUUAUUCGGAGGAACACCAGUGGCGAAGGCGGCUCACUGACUCGAUACUGACGCUAAGGUGCGAAAGCGUGGGGAGCAAACAGG